rnacentral:rRNA from 1 species
GAUGAACGCUGGCGGCGUGCCUAAUACAUGCAAGUCGAGCGAACAGACGAGGAGCUUGCUCCUCUGACGUUAGCGGCGGACGGGUGAGUAACACGUGGAUAACCUACCUAUAAGACUGGGAUAACUUCGGGAAACCGGAGCUAAUACCGGAUAAUAUAUUGAACCGCAUGGUUCAAUAGUGAAAGACGGUUUUGCUGUCACUUAUAGAUGGAUCCGCGCCGCAUUAGCUAGUUGGUAAGGUAACGGCUUACCAAGGCAACGAUGCGUAGCCGACCUGAGAGGGUGAUCGGCCACACUGGAACUGAGACACGGUCCAGACUCCUACGGGAGGCAGCAGUAGGGAAUCUUCCGCAAUGGGCGAAAGCCUGACGGAGCAACGCCGCGUGAGUGAUGAAGAUCUUCGGAUCGUAAAACUCUGUUAUUAGGGAAGAACAAAUGUGUAAGUAACUAUGCACGUCUUGACGGUACCUAAUCAGAAAGCCACGGCUAACUACGU